rnacentral:rRNA from 1 species
UUUCCGGUUGAUCCCGCCGGACCUGACUGCUAUCGGAUUGAUACUAAGCCAUGCGAGUCUUUGUAGUAAUACAAGGCAUACGGCUCAGUAACGCGUAGUCAACCUACCCUAUGGACAAGAAUAAUCUCGGGAAACUGAGCAUAAUUCUUGAUAGAUCAUAAUGCCUGGAAUGGUUUAUGGUUAAAAUGAUUCGUCGCCAUAGGAUGGACUGCGGCUUAUCAGCUUGUUGGUGAGGUAAUGGCCCACCAAGGCGAUUACAGGUACGGGCUCUGAGAGGAGAAGCCCGGAGAUGGGUACUGAGACAAGGACCCAGGCCCUAUGGGGCGCAGCAGGCGAGAAAACUUUGCAAUGUGCGAAAGCACGACAAGGUUAGUCCGAGUGAUUUCUGCCAAAGAGAUCUUUUGCUAGUUAUAAAACCACUAGUGAAUAAGGGGUGGGCAAGUUCUGGUGUCAGCCGCCGCGGUAAAACCAGCACCUCAAGUGGUCAGGAUGAUUAUUGGGCCUAAAGCAUCCGUAGCCGGCUCUGUAAGUUNUCGGUUAAAUCUAUACGCUCAACGUAUGGGCUGCCGAAAAUACUGUAGAGAUAGGGAGUGGGAGAGGUAGACGGUACUCGGUAGGAAGGGGNAAAAUCCUUUGAUCUAUCGAUGACCACCUGUGGCGAAGGCGGUCUACCAGAACACGUUCGACGGUGAGGGAUGAAAACUGGGGGA